CGGAAGCAAACUGCAUCCAUCAAACCUUGGACUCAGGGGACUGACAAACACUUCUUUUGCAGAAGGUGUUCUGUGAUUGAAGAGCUGUGUCAUCACGUGAAGGAGCUACGUGAAAAAGGGAACAGCUUUCAUAGUAUUCAGAGAUCUCACAAUACAGAAAAGGAAUAAAAUACAAAGAACUACAAAGAAGACAUUAAAUGCAACAUCAGGGAAUGAAAUUUUCUGCUUCAAAAGAAGUACCUAUGAUGAAUGUGGCAAUUACUGUGAACAGACAAGGCAACAAAUGAAGGACUUGGAGAAUGGUGCAGAUAGACACUCAUGACAGAUGUUAUAAGAAUGCCAAGGGACAGAUUGCCAGACAAUAUGAAAAGAAUCCCAAGAAAUCACUGAGAAGUAAACAGAAUACGAAAAAGAAGAGACCAAGAGAGAAAUAAAAACUGGCAAUAUUCCAGUAUACCCUUCCAGGACGACUUCUUCUGACACCAUGAUAUCACAGGAUUUUUAAAGAUUGGAAGAUCUUUUCUAUUCAAU